UACGUAGGGCCGAGCGUUGUCCGGAAUUACUGGGCGUAAAGGGCUCGUAGGUGGCCAACUAAGUCAGACGUGAAAUCCCCAGGCUCAACUUGGGAACUGCGUCUGAUACUGGAUGGCUUGAAUUCGGGAGAGGGAUGCAGAAUUCCAGGUGUAGCGGUGAAAUGCGUAGAUAUUAGGAGGAACACCAGUGGCGAAGGCGGCUUGCUGGACGACAACUGACGCUGAGGCGCGACAGCGUGGGGAGC
rnacentral:rRNA from 1 species